UACAGAGGGGGCAAGCGUUGUUCGGAAUUACUGGGCGUAAAGGGCGCGUAGGUGGUUUGUCGCGUUGUCCGUGAAAACUCACAACUCAAUUGUGGGCGUGCGGGCGAUACGGGCAGACUGGAGUACUGCAGGGGAGACUGGAAUUCCUGGUGUAGCGGUGGAAUGCGCAGAUAUCAGGAGGAACACCGGUGGCGAAGGCGGGUCUCUGGGCAGUAACUGACGCUGAGGAGCGAAAGCGUGGGGAGCGAACAGG
rnacentral:rRNA from 1 species